UUGACCUCGAAUCAGGUAGGGAUACCCGCUGAACUUAAGCAUAUCAAUAAGCGGAGGAAAAGAAACCAACCGGGAUUACCUCAGUAACGGCGAGUGAAGCGGUAACAGCUCAAAUUUGAAAUCUGGCUCCUACGGAGUCCGAGUUGUAAUUUGUAGAAGAUGCUUUGGGAGGUAGGGCCGGCCUAAGUUCCUUGGAACAGGACAUCAGAGAGGGUGAGAAUCCCGUAUGUGGCCGUGGCCUACGCCCGUGUAAAGCUCUUUCNACGAGUCGAGUUGUUUGGGAAUGCAGCUCAAAAUGGGUGGUAAAUUUCAUCUAAAGCUAAAUAGUGGCCAGAGACCGAUAGCGCACAAGUAGAGUGAUCGAAAGAUGAAAAGCACUUUGGAAAGAGAGUUAAACAGUACGUGAAAUUGUUGAAAGGGAAGCGCUUGCAACCAGACUUGGGUGUCGUGGAUCAUCCGAGGUUCUCCUCGGUGCACUCGACGAUGCGCAGGCCAGCAUCGGUUUGGGUGGUUGGAGAAAGGCUCUAGGAACGUAGCUCUCUUCGGGGAGUGUUAUAGCCUAGGGCGCAAUGCAGCCCAUCCGGACCGAGGACCGCGCCUUCGGGCUAGGAUGCUGGCGUAAUGGUUGUAAGCGACCCGUCUUGAAACACGGACCAAGGAGUCUAACAUCUAUGCGAGUGUUUGGGCGUUAAACCCAUACGCGGAAUGCAAGUGAACGUAGGUGAGAACCCGUUAGGGUGCAUCAUCGACCGAUCC
rnacentral:rRNA from 1 species